rnacentral:tRNA from 1 species
GCCCCCGUAGCUCAUCCGGAUAGAGCAUCUGCCUUCUAAGCAGAGGGUACCAGGUUCGAGUCCUGGCGGGGGUA